rnacentral:rRNA from 1 species
UACGUAGGGGGCAAGCGUUGUCCGGAUUUAUUGGGCGUAAAGAGCGUGUAGGCGGCCUGGUAAGUCAGCUGUGAAAACUCGAGGCUCAACCUCGAGACGCCGGUUGAAACCAUCAGGCUAGAGUCCGGAAGAGGAGAGUGGAAUUCCAGGUGUAGCGGUGAAAUGCGCAGAUAUCUGGAAGAACACCCGUGGCUAAGGCGGCUCUCUAGUACGGUACUGACGCUGAGACGCGAAAGCGUGGGGAGCGAACAGG